GACGUCCAUACCUCGCUGAAUAGACCAGUCGUCAUCCGAUCACGGAAGUUAAGCCGUGUUGCGCGCAGUCAGUACUUGGAUGGGUGACAC